rnacentral:rRNA from 1 species
GGAUGCGAUCAUAGCAGCACUAAAGCACUAGAUCCCAUCAGAACUCCGAAGUUAAGCGUGCUUGGGCGAGAGUAGUACUAGGAUGGGUGACCUCCUGGGAAGUCCUCGUGUUGCAUUCC